rnacentral:rRNA from 1 species
GAUGAACGCUAGCUACAGGCUUAACACAUGCAAGUCGAGGGGCGGCAUGACCUAGCAAUAGGUUGAUGGCGACCGGCGCACGGGUGAGUAACACGUAUCCAACCUGCCGAUUAUUCCGGGAUAGCCUUUCGAAAGAAAUAUUAAUACUGGAUAGCAUAACGAGAAGGCAUCUUCUUGUUAUUAACGAAUUUCGAUAAUCGAUGGGGAUGCGUUCCAUUAGUUUGUUGGCGGGGUAACGGCCCACCAAGACAUCGAUGGAUAGGGGUUCUGAGAGGAAGGUCCCCCACAUUGGAACUGAGACACGGUCCAAACUCCUACGGGAGGCAGCAGUGAGGAAUAUUGGUCAAUGGACGAGAGUCUGAACCAGCCAAGUAGCGUGAAGGAUGACUGCCCUAUGGGUUGUAAACUUCUUUUAUAUGGGAAUAAAGUGGGCCACGUGUGGCUUUUUGUAUGUACCAUACGAAUAAGGAUCGGCUAACUCCGUG